ACUUAUUUUUUGACCAAUCACGUGGUGAUACGUGUAUAUUUAUUUUUAUUUUUUUUUAAAAAAAAGUUUACCUAUUCAACCGGUUCCAAGUAAAAUGGGACUAUUAAGAUGGGAUUAUUCUGGGCAAUUUUUCUGUAACCAAAUUGAUACUAAUGAAAGUUUACCUACUCAACCGGUUCCAAGUAAAUUAAAUUUAUGUUUCCAACCAAUUCGAUUUGAAACAGAUUAGAAAAUAUCUGAUUCAGAUUUCAACUCGAAUAAACACAAUAAUUUAGCAUGAUUCAACUUUGAAAUUAGACUCAACCUGACCUAGCCUCGCCAAACUCGACCCAAACGUUCAAAUUAACACCUCUAAAUUACACUUAAUUUUACGUGACAAGCUAGGUUUGUGUGACAUUUUAAGUCAGUAUUAUUAAAAAAGAAAUUUUGUAAGAAAAAAACCACCCUCAAAAUCCAAAAUACACCAGCUUUCUAAUUAACCACUUUUUUUUUUUUUUUUAUGAAAUUAAAAAUACCACCCCAAAACGCUAAACCAGUAGAUAUCACCACCCCUUCUUUAAUUCCGACUUGUUUUUCGACGAAGGAUUCACAUAUCACCACCCUAUUGGUCAAAAUUAACAAAAUUAAAAAAGAAAAAAAAAGUUAAACACAGAAACUUCAUCAAAUUCUUCAAUUUCUGCAAAUUAAAUCCACCUCCAUCUCAUAUAUAUAUAUGUAUAUAUCGGACCAGGUUAUAAUGGGAAUCUCUCCUAUAAUAUGAACUAGGAACUCAUUUCAACCGUCAGAUUAAAACAAAGUGGAUGGCUGCGAUUGUGUUAUGAUUAAAUCAGAAAAUUAGCCAAAAAAAAAAACUUGUGUCUCUCUCUCCUCUUCUCGCUGACAACAUUUUCUCUCUCCUCUAGCGUUUUUCAAGCUUUCUCACCUCAAUCAUCAGCUCAAAAGUCAUGAAUUUUGCUACAAUUUAAACAAUUCUUCGAUAAUUUGCUGAACUAAUUGCACAAUUUCUCAACUAUAGAGGGAAUUUCGAGCUUUUGAUACUCCAUUGAAGCAGCUUCUGAGGGAAUAGGGUGCAAGAAGAUGUCAGGGAUCUAUAGGCGACUAUUUGGUGCAAGAACAGACAACCGAAACAAAAUCAUUUUGUGUGGAAAGCCUGCAGAGGUAGCCUUGCCGUGAAAGAGUUGUUGUUUUAUCGCCAUAUGUUGCUCCUGAUGAUGUUUGUGGUGGCUGUGGGGUAGAGGUUGAGUCUGUUAACCACGUACUCUUUGACUGCCAUAUUGCAAGAAAGGUAUGGUCCUGCGGCAAAUUUGUUCAGCUUCUACAUGACGCAGCAUCUACCUCUUUCUAGGUAAAAUUCUUGUGGCUUGUAGUAAAAUUGACAAGGAUGAUUUGGGGCAUUUGCUAGCAAUGGCGUGGGCCAUCUGGCUGUGUAGAAACAAAGCUCUCUUUGAGCACACUGAGCUUGAUUCGGUUCUGACUGCCAGCAACUUUGUGAAUCUCCAAUGGAGUACAAAUCAUAUACUCGCAAGGUGUUUGAUAGAACUCCCAACCAAAAUAAAUCAAAUCAACUCUAAUGUGUACUAAUGUAUAGAAACACACUAAAGUAAUUGAAAAUUUCUCAAAAGUAAAUCAAAAUAAUUAUAAAGUAAAUCAAAUUAGCUUAAAAAAAAAAAUCAAAAUUCAAAACCAGUGUAUAGCAAGCUCUUCCAAAGUACCAUUACAUAGCAUUUCAUAGUAAGAAAGAGUAAGAGAAACUUGUUACACAUGACCGCUUACAUCAUACUUUGAAGUCAUCCUCAUAUAUCUCAAAAGUAGAUACAAAAUACUAAAAAGUAAAUCGAAAUAUUCUAAAAGUAAAUAAAAAAAUAAUCUCAAAAGUUAGGUAAAUAAAAAUAAUUUUCUCUAAUGAACAAACCUACGAGGGAUUCGAACCCACAUCAUUUGUGCAUUUGCACAAUGCUCUACCUUUGAGCUAGUAGGCUAGUGUACAUUAAAAAUUCAAAGUAAAGAAAAAUAGCUCAAUAGUAAAUAAAAAAAAUCUCAAAUCUCAACCAAAGAAACUAUAUCCCAAAUAACAUAUCAACUUACACAGGAUGAAAAGAUUUAAGCCCGGCCCGGUAAUAUGAAAAAUAAGCAUACAAAAUAAAAAGAAUCAACCCUCAUACACAGCACACCACCAUAUACAACAUCAAAUUUACUCCCCUCCACUCACCUUCAUACAUAAUAUAUUUUGAAGUAAAGAAAACAAAUAUAAAAGUAAAUAAGAUAUACUCAAAAGUAAAUAAGAGAAGCAUUAAAGGUAACAUAAGCAUUAAAGCUAGUAAGAUAAAUUAUACAUCAGUUCAAGAGUAACCAAAGUAUAUCAUAAGCAAUAAAUAAAAUAAAUAAAUAGAGUAUAUGCUCAAAUCCCAGUCAAAGUGUAGCAACUACCACUCCAAAUAUCAUUGAGCAAAAUCGAUUGAUCUGAACAAUGCAGGGCUAGGGUCAACUAAUAUUUAUACUAUUUUUUUAGAGCUAAACUUGAAAUUUAUGUGGUAAUGUCAAAGUAAAGCUAAAUAACUCAAAAGUAAGUAAAAAAUCUCAAAAAGUAAGUAAAAUAUUACUUUCUAUUUCCUUGACCACCCUGCAACAUACUACUUGGCCAACUCCCUCCUCACCCACACUACAAUAGCUAGCAAUACAGCACCAAACCUCUGCUCAAUCAAUUAAAAUCAACAAAGCUAAUCUUACAUGACAAGAAUAACGUACAACGUAGAUUAGCCAAAUUCGACAUACUCGAAAAACAAAGAACACUAAACAUAAUCACAAAUCAUCCACCCAAAGAACUACUAGGUAUUAAUAACUAUUAACUUACACAAGAUAAAAAUAUUCACACUCAACAAUAUAAAAAACAUAAGUUCAUAUUAUAUUAUCGAGUCCAAUCCCUCAAAUUGGAAGAAGAUGUUGAAUUCAGAAACCUAAGCAAAAUAAGAAGAAAAUCAAACAAACGAUGAGCAAAAUAAUUUAAGACGGAAUGAGGGUGGUGGCCCUAAGCAAGAACAAUAGCUUUGGUUUCCUGUUGCUACUUGAAACUUUGGAGCACUGACAUCUUCUGUUGCUUACCAGUCACAAGGGCCUCACAUUGGUUUCUCACUUGGUCAUACAAUAUGAGACCAUGAAGGACUAAAGGUAUCAAGAAACUGAUAGCAAGUCACUUUCUGGUAGCAUUGCAUAUGUGGAAUUGAAUUUUACUUCAAUAUGAAUCAUUACAUUCACCAGAUUUAAUAUGAUCUAAAAUGACCAAAUUCAUAAAAGUAAACCAACUAGUUAAUCAAAUAAUCAAAUUUCUCAACUCAAACAAACAAUGUAGCAUACAAGAAUCUAAUACAGAGUAGCAUCCUCCAAGUAGAAAAGAUUCACAAGUUUUUGACCCUACUAUUUUGAUGUUGACCUCUCCACCAUCGCUAAACAUUCCCCUAACUCCCUGAUCCAUAUUUAGAAAGAAUAAAAAAAAUAGCAAAAAAAAAAAAAAAAAAAAAAAAAAAAACCCAAAUUUCGCUGAAGACAAAACCAAAAAAGAAAAAUGGCUAAUCCAGUAAAAAAAAAAACGCAAUUAAAAUUAAAGCACAUGCAACAAUCAAAAUUCACAAAUGAAUCAAACAAAAAACCCCAAAUUUUCAACUAUUUAAUCUGAUUAAGAAAUGAAACACAAAUUAAUCAAACAAAAAAUAGCAAAAAACCCUAAUUCAAACUCGAAUUAAUCAAAACCAAAUCGAGCAAACUACAAAUGAAUCGAGCAAAUUCAACAUACAAAUAAAUCGAAAUUUACAUACCUUAGAUGAACAAAAGCGAAGAAAAUUUGUAAUUUCGAUUUAUUUAGGAUCGCUACUUUUUCCCUCCUCUUGUUCACUCAUAUAUAGUUUUGGUUAGUAAAUUUCGAAUUUCAUGCUCUUAAUUUUGGUUUUUCGUCAUAAUUUUCAUUUUGAUAUGAAGUUGUAAUUACAUUGUUCGGUUUAUGUAAGAUUGCUGAUUUCGGAUUUUUUCCCAAAAUGAGCUUUAUUGGUAAAUUAUUUACCAAAUUGGUCUCGUGGGAAAAGUAUUU